UACGUAGGCAGCGAGCGUUGUUCGGAGUUACUGGGCGUAAAGGGUGUGUAGGCGGUGGUUUAAGUUUGGUGUGAAAUCUCCCGGCUCAACUGGGAGGGUGCGCCGAAUACUGAAUGACUUGGAGUGCGGGAGAGGUGAGUGGAAUUCCUGGUGUAGCGGUGAAAUGCGUAGAUAUCAGGAGGAACACCGGUGGUGUAGACGGCUCACUGGACCGUAACUGACGCUGAGACACGAAAGCGUGGGUAGCAAACAGG
rnacentral:rRNA from 1 species